AUACGUAGGUGACAAGCGUUAUCCGGAUUUACUGGGCGUAAAGGGCGUGUAGGCGGUCUUGCAAGUCAGAAGUGAAAUUCCUGAGCUCAACUCGGGCGCUGCUUCUGAAACUGCAGGACUUGAGUGCUGGAGGGGAUAGCGGAAUUCCUAGUGGAGCGGUAAAAUGCGCAGAUAUUAGGAAGAACACCGGUGGCGAAGGCGACUAUCUGGACGGUAACUCACGCUGAGGCGCGAAAGCUGGGGGAGCACACAGGAUUAGACACCCUGGUAGUCCACGCCGUAAACGACGAGCACUAAGUGUCGGAUGAAUUUUCGGCGCUGCAGUUAACACAAUAAGUGCUCCGCCUGGGGCGUACGGUCUCAAGACUGCAACUCAAAGGAAUUGACGGUG
rnacentral:rRNA from 1 species